rnacentral:rRNA from 1 species
UACGUAGGAGACGAGCGUUGUCCGGAAUUACUGGGCGUAAAGGGCGCGUAGGCGGUGUGUCAAGUCAGGCGUGAAAGCCCCGGGCUCAACCUGGGAACCGCGCUUGAGACUGGCACGCUAGAGUUCGGGAGAGGAUGGUGGAAUUCCCAGUGUAGAGGUGAAAUUCGUAGAUAUUCGCAAGAACACCAGUGGCGAAGGCGGCUCACUGGCCCGAUACUGACGCUGAGGCACGAAAGCGUGGGGAGCAAACAGG